UUUAAACCCUAAAUAUGAUUUAACUUCUUAUAUUU
rnacentral:tRNA from 2 species